CUGACAGUAUUGGAGACUAAAGUCUUUACUUAUCCACAGAACAGGUAUAACAUGGAGGCAAGCUUCAAUCUAUGUUGCCCCUUGCCAGAGCCUUAAUUUGGCUUCAGGUGGUGAGUGAUGAGUUAGAUCACCAUACCUAUUCAGUCCUUAGCUUCU
rnacentral:sRNA from 1 species